rnacentral:rRNA from 1 species
CCGGCCUAUCAGCUUGUUGGUGGGGUAAUGGCCUACCAAGGCGACGACGGGUAGCCGGCCUGAGAGGGUGACCGGCCACACUGGGACUGAGACACGGCCCAGACUCCUACGGGAGGCAGCAGUGGGGAAUAUUGCACAAUGGGCGCAAGCCUGAUGCAGCGACGCCGCGUGAGGGAUGACGGCCUUCGGGUUGUAAACCUCUUUCAGUAGGGAAGAAGCGUAAGUGACGGUACCUGCAGAAGAAGCGCCGGCUAACUACGUGCCA